AGGAAUAGGGCUGGUUCUGUGUGCUGGGGAUCUUGGUGGUCUCUGUCCAUGCCUUAUGUUGUAGGCUUGGCCACUAUGGAUGUGUCUCACGCAUCUGGGCUCUUUCUCCAGGGCUCCUGUGAGAUUACAUGUCUAUGAUCCUUGGUAGCAGGAGAUUAUGAGGUUUAAUGUGUUGCUAUCCCACCAAGUGGUACUUGCUGUAAAGUGACUUUGCCAGAGACAAGUCCCUAUCUGGGGGCUUUGCAUGAGCAUGGAUGGAGCCUGUCCUGGUACCCAGAUGUUCUCCCCCUUCCCAGCUCCUUGUUUCUGCAUGUGGGAAGCCCAGCAAGAUGUUCCAGUCCUAUCAUGGUCCAUAAAGCUUCUGCAGGAGACCAAGGACUGGAUGUGCGGUGGUGAUGCUCUUGCCUGCACCUGCAGUCAGGCAAGGAGUGGAAAUUUCCUUUUCAUGGGAGUUAAAGGUUGUCACGGCCAGGAUUCCUGCUGAGGAGGCUCCAAAGCUGCGGGAAGCAGAACAGCAUUUCCUGGCUCCUGCUUUGCGUUCAAGUACGGAGGAGGGUGAUUUAUUCCCU